AUUAGAGGAAGGAAUGCUAAGGGCGCCUCGUCCUGAGGCGACGCCUUCAUGACCAACAUCGAGUUGG
rnacentral:sRNA from 1 species